UAAGAUAGAGGAAGAAUGAGGCAAGAGAUGAGAAGAGACAAAAACAAUAAGGUGGAGUAAGAGUACUGCACCUAUCUUGAGGAAGACAACAAAACCAACAAGGAAGCAGAAAAGGUGCAAGGACUAUGUCAAGGCAUGGAAACGUCUUACUGUGAAACGUUCUCCAAAUAUUCUUACAAUUGCCUUAAAAAGAUAUCAGGAUGA